rnacentral:rRNA from 1 species
AACGAACGCUGGCGGCAGGCUUAACACAUGCAAGUCGAGCGCCCCGCAAGGGGAGCGGCAGGCGGGUGAGUAACGCGUGGGAAUCUACCCAUCUCUACGGAAUAACGCAUGGAAACGUGUGCUAAUACCGUAUACGUCCUUCGGGAGAAAGAUUUAUCGGAGAUGGAUGAGCCCGCGUUGGAUUAGCUAGUUGGUGGGGUAAAGGCCUACCAAGGCGACGAUCCAUAGCUGGUCUGAGAGGAUGAUCAGCCACAUUGGGACUGAGACACGGCCCAAACUCCUACGGGAGGCAGCAGUGGGGAAUAUUGGACAAUGGGCGCAAGCCUGAUCCAGCCAUGCCGCGUGAGUGAUGAAGGCCCUAGGGUUGUAAAGCUCUUUCACCGGUGAAGAUAAUGACGGUAACCGGAGAAGAAGCCCCGGCUAACUUCGUGCCAGCAGCCGCCGUAACAC